CCCAUGCUAUUGUCAGAAGCUGCGGUUCUUUUCAUCAGCCUGAACCUGGACCUGCCGCUAUGGAUAACUCAGGUUUUUUUUUUUUUUUUAAUCAACUGCCAUCUUUUCCACUGUUUAGAAACUCUUAAGAUUAAACUUUAGUAAAGUUGUUUUAGUUAUCCAUGUAAUCAGGCUGAGGAUACUUAGCUGCCUAUUUAGGCAAAUGUCAGAAUUUAGUUUGUUCGCUGGGAACUGGUGUGGACUGGCAAAGGAUGAUGAGAUAGUUUUUUGAGUGAGUAAAUUUUGGGAGCUUGAGUGUAUUGGGAUUUGCAAUUACAAUCAUCGUCUGCCUCAGGUGAUUUCUUCUCCUGCUCUGUCAUUGUUUGUUCUCUAAUUCAAAAGCAUAAAAUAUUUCAAUCAAUUUUUAUGCCAGGAAUAUGCAAAAGUUUCUAAUAUUUUAUUUCCAUCUGUUACAAGAUCAAACUGAAGCAGAACUCAAACAAAAGUAUGCUACUUCUUGCGGAAAUCUUGCCUUUGUUCAGAUUAUGAAACCAUUUCCAUGCAGCAAAUUCAUCCAAAAGUUUGAAUAAGUUUCAUGGUUGGACACUGUUGGCUUCUUUUUCUUCUGGGGUGCAUUUAGGUGCUAUCAAGUGACAGCUGUAAGUAUGAUUGCACUAAGCUGCCGCUGGGAAAUUUGAGGUUUUGAUGGCUGCCCAUGUUAUUUUCAAGAAACUAUUGAUGUAAGAAGCUGUGGUUCUUUUCAUCAGCUUGAACCUGAAACUGUCGCUAUGGAUAACUCAGGUUUUUGUUAUCAACUAUAUCAUCUUUUUCACUAUUUUGAAACUCUUAAGAUUAAACUUUAGUAAAGUUGUUUCAGCUAUUCAAAUGAAAAACUCAUUGAUUUGAGACUUCCUUCAUUAUUGUUUCUAAUUACAAUGCUAACGAUCCAGAUAAAAUAAUAUUUAAUCGGCGAAGGUGUCCCUUGGAAGUACAUCCUUCUUUUUCUUUUAUUAUAUAAAUUCUUGCAAUGAGCUUAGUGAAGCUGUUGUGCUAAUCAUGCCACUGCAUAAUUUGGCCCCUAAUGUGGGUACUCUGUUACAUUGUUCUGCAAAUUCUCCAGAAGUUAAAAUCAAUAAAUUUUCUAUUAGCUCUAGUGCUUUGACCUAAAUGCCAUUCUAUAUUUUGAUUACAAUGUUUUAACCUUUAAAUUAACUACCCCUAGAUGUUGGAUUUUCUAGAACUUCAAAAUGAUUAAUGGAGAAAGAUCCCAUUAUCGUUAUUGCUAUAAGAAAUUGAUUUAUGCAUCCAAAGAUACAUUAUAUAUUUCUGUGUCUCUAUUUGUAGAUGACAUUUAAGCAUCCAUAAACCGUCAGACAGAGGAAGGGGGUUCAGUGCAAAGAUUCUGUUGACCUAGGGUUGACUGCAUAAUGUCACUUGUUCGCAAUCUAUUAUUUAUUUUAUAUUUUGAAGAAUUUAAUGGGUAAUCCUAAUUGUUUGUUUUGGCAGGUAUGUGUUGUUAUCUCCUUCUAUCUAACAGUCGUACCUAAAUAGCAUAGUUUCAUCUGUGUUACCAUGUGAUGUACAUAAUUUCACAUUUGCCUCAGAUUAAGCUUAAUUUCCCACAGAAUAGAGCUGUCGCGACUGGACUUAGGUUGAUGUCCAAAGAGGUAAAUUAUUGGCAUGCCUAGAUAAUUUGGCCAUUUCCUAAUUCAUAAGUCUACAUUAAUUUUGAUUUUGAGUUGACUGAUUUCUUUUCAAGGUCUGCUUCCUUAACGGAGUGACCAAUGUUUUUCAACUAAAUUUAUCAUAUGAUGCAGGAAGCAGGGCAGGAUAUGAAAUGAGAAGCUCAUUGGUGGAAGUAUUGCCAGUAACAGAACCCAAAGAAAAUGAAACUAUUUCAAGGCAGCAGUUGGCAGUUGCAAGUGAAUGGAGGCCCUGACAAAAUUCUCAAGCGGUUGCAAUGCAAUUACGAUCAUCCUCAGCCUCAGGUAAUUUCUUCUCCUGCUCUGUUUUUAUUUGUUAUCUAAUUAAAAAGCAUAAAGUAUCUUGAAUCACUUUCUGUAUCUGGAACAUAUGCAGCAGUUUCUAAAAUCUUCAUAUGAGUGUAAUGAUGGUAAUUUCUGUUUUUUGUCUGUCAUUGAAUGUUAGACAACUUUCAGUGAGACUCUUGAACCGAGACAUUUUUGACAAAUGAAGGACAAUUGCUGAAGAGUGGGAAUGGUGCUAGAUUGGGGAAUAAAGACAAAGGAGGUAAAUUAUUUGCAGUUUAUUCAGCAUUAUUUGCUUUGGACCAGCGCCUGAUUCACAAGUCUCCAUAAUUUGGCUUUUGACCAGUUGUUAAUAAAUUUUUUAUUCCAUUGGUGCUAAAUGUACACGUGAAGCAGGCAGAGCAGGACUGUGGAAAUGAGAAGGUUUUUAGUGAAAGCUUAAACUCAGGUAAUUCUAAAAAGUACAUGUUUUUGCUGAUUUAUCUAAAUCAGGAAAUUUUAUUUCCAUCUGUUACAAGAUAAAACAGAAACAGAACACAAAGAAAAAUAUUCUACUUCUUGUGGCAAUCUUGCCUUCAUUCAGACAAUGAAACCAUUUCCUUUCACCAAUUUCUUCCAAAAGUUUGAAUAAGUUUCAUGGUUGGACAUAGUUAGCUUCUUUUUCUUUUGGUGCAUUUAGGUCCUAUCAAGUGACAGCCAUAAGUAUGAUUGCAUUAUUGGGAAAUUUUAGGUUUUGAUGGCUCCCCACGUUAUUGCCAAGAAAGUCCUCAUGUCAAAAGCUGCGGUUCUUUUCAUCAGCCUGAACCCGAACCUGUCGUUAUGGAUAACUCAGGUUUUUGUCAUCAACUAUAUCAUCUUUUUUACUGUUUUGAAACUCUUAAGAUUAAACUUCAGUAAAGUUGUUUCAGUUAUCCAUGUAAUCAGGCCAAGGAUAUUUAGCAGCUUAUUUAGGCAACUGCCAGAAUUCAGUUUGUUUGCUCGAAACUUGUAUGGUGACAAGGAUACUGGCAAGGAUAGUGAGAUAGUUUUUUGUGUGAGUGAAAUUUGAAAGCUUGGGUGUUCUGGGAUUUGCAAUUGCAAUCAUCCUCUGAGUCAGGUGAUUUCUUCUCCUGCUCUGUCUUGAUUUUCUCUCUAAUUGAAAGCAUAAAGUAUUUCAAUCAAAUUCUGUACCAGGAGUACAUAAAAGUUACUAAUAUUUUAUUUCCAUCUGUUUGCAUUGAUAACUCGGCAUAUGUUCUAGUUAAAGAACAAACAGAAACAGAGUUCAGGAAAAAGUUUCUUCGGCCACCAUAUUUGAAAAUGAAACCAUUUCCAGGAAGCAGUUGGCAGCAAAUUCAUAUGGAGUGUAGACAAUGAUGAGCAAAAAGGUGAUUCGCAAUUUCUUUUUUUUUUAAGUGAAAUUAUUUGUUAGAUUGAAGCUGAUAUUGUAAGAAGGCCAUUGAGCUAACCUAUGUCGUCACUUGCCUAGAUUGCAGGGGGUCAAGACUCAAAAGAAGCACUGAAAUUUAAAAAGCAUGGAAUAGUUCUUUUGCCAUGUGUCAAUUAAUGCAAGUUUGAAUAAGUUUAUUGGCUGAACGAUGUUAGCUUCUUUUCCUUUCGUGCACUUUGGUAUGCUAUCAAGUGACAGCCGUAUGUAUGGCUUGCAUAUAGCUGCUGCUGGGAAAAUUGACGAUUUCAUGGCUGGCCGUGUUAUUGUCUUAAAUUAGUUGUGAUAAGCUGUUGCUUGGAGAUUCUGUUGCCAAGACUUUGCUCACAUCAGAAGCUGUGGAAUCUGAACCCUUCGUUAUGUAUCAUCUUUUUCAUUGUUUUAAAACUCUCAGGAUUAAACUUGAGCGAAUUUGUUCGGUUGUCUAUAUAAUCAUGUAUUGAGUAAACUCUCAGGAUACUGAGGGUGAGAGAAAUUAGAGGGUGUAUAGGGAUUUGGAUUUGUUAGGAAGUUAUCAUUUUUAUUUUUAUUUUUAUUUUUUUCCCAGAAAAUCUUCUGGUGGUGCUAUAUUUUCAAACGACAGUCCGAUUCAAAACUUGAUAUUCCAAUUAUAUUCAUAAGCUUCUACAGUUAUCUUCAAAAAGACAAAUGGAAGGCUUUGAACGGCUUGGGUCUGAGUAUUGUAGUUUGAUUUAUUUUGAUGAAAGUACCUUUUGACAUUGAGAUUCUUUCAUGAGUUAAACAUUCUUUUUAAAACCAACUUAUUAAAAAAAAAAAGUAACUAACAUAUAUUAUUUUGUUAGUGCUUUUUAAAUCAAAUAUAAAAAAGAGAACUGUAAUUCUUAGCAACCAAUUUUUCACUGAGUACACCUACAACAAACUAUUAAAAAAUAAAGUGAUAGAAAAUGCCUGAUUUUUCGUACUUUCUAAUUACUUUUGGUCCUAAAAUAUGGCAAUUUGUGUAAUAAUAAGCCCAUGUAUAUCUUUAUGCCAUUAGUUUGAUAAAUAGCUAUCAAGGAUAACUUAUUAAGCUAAAAAUAUUUGAAGGAUAAAUUGAUUUAUGCAUCCAAAGAUACAUUAUAUAUUUCUGUGUCUCUAUUUAUAGAUGACAUUUAAGCAUCCAUAAACCGUCAGACAGAGGAAGGGGGUUCAGUGCAAAGAUUCUGUUGACCUAGGGUUGACUGCAUAAUGUCACUUGUUCGCAAUCUAUUAUUUAUUUUAUAUUUUGAAGAAUUUAAUGGGUAAUCCUAAUUGUUUGUUUUGGCAGGUAUGUGUUGUUAUCUCCUUCUAUCUAACAGUCGUACCUAAAUAGCAUAGUUUCAUCUGUGUUACCAUGUGAUGUACAUAAUUUCACAUUUGCCUCAGAUUAAGCUUAAUUUCCCACAGAAUAGAGCUGUCGUGACUGGACUUAGGUUGAUGUCCAAAGAGGUAAAUUAUUGGCAUGCCUAGAUAAUUUGGCCAUUUCCUAAUUCAUAAGUCUACAUUAAUUUUGAUUUUGAGUUGACUGAUUUCUUUUCAAGGUCUGCUUCCUUAACGGAGUGACCAAUGUUUUUCAACUAAAUUUAUCAUAUGAUGCAGGAAGCAGGGCAGGAUAUGAAAUGAGAUCUCAUUGGUGGAAGUAUUGCCAGUAGCAGAACCCAAUGAAAAUGAAACUAUUUCAAGGCAGCAGUUGGCAGUUGCAAGUGAAUGGAGGCCCUUGACAAAAUUCUCAAGCGGUUGCAAUGAUGGUAAUUUCUUCUCCUGCUUUGUAUUUAUUUGUUAUCUAAUUAGGAAGCGUGAAGUAUCUUGAAUCAUUUUCUGUAUCUGGAAUAUAUGCAAGAGUUUCUAAAAUUUUGAUAUGAGUGUAAUGAUGGUAAUUUCUGUUUUCUGUCUGUCAUCAAAUGUUAGAAAACUUUCAUUGAGACCCUUGAACCGAGUCAUUUUUGACAAGUGAAGGACAAUUGCUGAAGAGUGGGAAUGGUGCUAGAUUGGGGAAUAAAGACAAAGGAGGUAAAUUAUUUGCAGUUUAUUCAGCAUUAUUUGCUUUGGACCACCGCCUGAUUCACAAGUCUCCAUAAUUUGGCUUUUGACCAGUUAAUAAAUUUUUAAUUCCAUUGGUGCUAAAUGUACACGUGAAGCAGGCAGAGCAGGACUGUGGAAAUGAGAAGGUUUUUAGUGAAAGCUUAAACUCAGGUAAUUCUAAAAAGUACAUGUUUUUGCUGAUUUAUCUAAAUCAGGAAAUUUUAUUUCCAUCUGUUACAAGAUAAAACAGAAACAGAACACAAAGAAAAAUAUUCUACUUCUUGUGGCAAUCUUGCCUUCAUUCAGACAAUGAAACCAUUUCCUUUCACCAAUUUCUUCCAAAAGUUUGAAUAAGUUUCAUGGUUGGACAUAGUUAGCUUCUUUUUCUUUUUGGUGCAUUUAGGUCCUAUCAAGUGACAGCCAUAAGUAUGAUUGCAUUAUUGGGAAAUUUUAGGUUUGGAUGGCUCCCCAUGUUAUUGCCAAGAAAGUCCUCAUGUCAGAAGCUGCGGUUCUUUUCAUCAGCCUGAACCCGAACCUGUCGUUAUGGAUAACUCAGGUUUUUGUCAUCAACUAUAUCAUCUUUUUUACUGUUUUGAAACUCUUAAGAUUAAACUUCAGUAAAGUUGUUUCAGUUAUCCAUGUAAUCAGGCUAAGGAUAUUUAGCAGCUUAUUUAGGCAACUGCCAGAAUUCAGUUUGUUUGCUCGAAACUUGUAUGGUGACAAGGAUACUGGCAAGGAUAGUGAGAUAGUUUUUUGUGUGAGUGAAAUUUGAAAGCUUGGGUGUUCUGGGAUUUGCAAUUGCAAUCAUCCUCUGAGUCAGGUGAUUUCUUCUCCUGCUCUGUCUUGAUUUUCUCUCUAAUUGAAAGCAUAAAGUAUUUCAAUCAAAUUCUGUACCAGGAAUACGUAAAAGUUACUAAUAUUUUAUUUCCAUCUGUUUGCAUUGAUAACUCGGCGGCAUAUGUUCUAGUUAAAGAACAAACAGAAACAGAGUUCAGGAAAAAGUUUCUUCGGCCACCAUAUUUGAAAAUGAAACCAUUUCCAGGAAGCAGUUGGCAGCAAAUUCAUAUGGAGUGUAGACAAUGAUGAGCGAAAAGGUGAUACGCAAUUUCUUUUUUUUUUUUUUUAAGUGAAAUUAUUUGUUAGAUUGAAGCUGAUAUUGUAAGAAGGCCAUUGAGCUAACCUAUGUCGCCACUUGCCUAGAUUGCAGGGGGUCAAGACUCAAAAGAAGCACUGAAAUUUAAAAAAGCAUGCAAUAGUUCUUUUGCCAUGUGUCAAUUAAUGCAAGUUUGAAUAAGUUUAUUGGCUGAACGAUGUUAGCUUCUUUUCCUUUCGUGCACUUUGGUAUGCUAUCAAGUGACAGCCGUAUGUAUGGCUUGCGUAUAGCUGCUGCUGGGAAAAUUGACGAUUUCAUGGCUGGCCGUGUUAUUGUCUUAAAUUAGUUGUGAUAAGCUGUUGCUUGGAGAUUCUGUUGCCAAGACUUUGCUCACAUCAGAAGCUGUGGAAUCUGAACCCUUCGUUAUGUAUCAUCUUUUUCAUUGUUUUAAAACUCUCAGGAUUAAACUUGAGCGAAUUUGUUCGGUUGUCUAUAUAAUCAUGUAUUGAGUAACCUCUCAGGAUACUGAGCAGGCAAAUGUUAUAACUCGGUUUGUUAGCCAAAAACUUGUUGAAGAUUCUUGACAAAGCUGCAUCAAGUGAAUUGUCGGAGCUCUGAGGGUGAGAGAAAUUAGAGGGUGUAUAGGGAUUUGGAUUUGUUAGGAAGUUAUCAUUUUUAUUUUUAUUUUUAUUUUUUUCACAGAAAAUCUUCUGGUGGUGCUAUAUUUUCAAACGACAGUCCGAUUCAAAACUUGAUAUUCCAAUUAUAUUCAUAAGCUUCUACAGUUAUCUUCAAAAAGACAAAUGGAAGGCUUUGAACGGCUUGGGUCUGAGUAUUGUAGUUUGAUUUAUUUUGAUGAAAGUACCUUUUGACAUUGAGAUUCUUUCAUGAGUUAAACAUUCUUUUUAAAACCAACUUAUUAAAAAAAAAAAGUAACUAACAUAUAUUAUUUUGUUAGUGCUUUUUAAAUCAAAUAUAAAAAAGAGAACUGUAAUUCUUAGCAACCAAUUUUUCACUGAGUACACCUACAACAAACUAUUAAAAAAUAAAGUGAUAGAAAAUGCCUGAUUUUUCGUACUUUCUAAUUACUUUUGGUCCUAAAAUAUGGCGAUUUGUGUAAUAAUAAGCCCAUGUAUAUCUUUAUGCCAUUAGUUUGAUAAAUAGCUAUCAAGGAUAACUUAUUAAGCUAAAAAUAUUUGAAGGAUAAAAUGGUAAAACUAAAAGGGUGGAGUAAUAUAGUUAUUUAAGAUUACAUAGUAAGUCAACUAUAUUCGAGGGAUAAAAUAUUAAAACUUGAAUAGUGAUAUUAAAAAUAUCUCAGCUAUUAUACUAUUAAACCAUAUGCCGUAAUAAUAUUUUUUUUCAAACUUUAAAAAAUUCAGGAUUUUAAAUUAAAACAUGGAUUUCUUUAAGAUGCUAUAUGUGUUUUUACAGUAUUGAUAGUGGGAUUAGUGUGGACCUUUAGAUGAAAGAGUUUUAAUCUGAAUCAUUCAUUUAAUAUAAUAGAUAAUUAAAUAAUUAAUUAAAAUAUAUCAGGUAACUUAUAGGUUGCAGGUAAAAAAUUAAUUUUUUAAUUUUAAAUUAAAAUUAAUUUGGAACAAAACCAUCCACACCCCUAAGGUUUACUUAAAUGAUCAUAUAAAUCCCUUUAGUUUCUACAUAGUUAUACAAACCCUCUUAAUUUCAUAAAUUAUUAUUAUACUUUUAAUUAAAACAACCUAAAUGAAUAUAAAUAUAGUAAUAGGAUAGAAAUAAUAAAUAAAUAUCAGAUGAAACAAAUAAAAUAUUACAAUAAAUACAAUUAAUUAAAUAACAUGUAGGAUGAAAAUUUUAUUCAUAUUAAGUUAUUAUUAGUCGAUCUCGAUGGAUUUACUCAAAUUAAUUAAUCCAAAAUUUAAUUUUAAGAUUGAUAUUAAUAUGGACAUAAUUAAAUAAGAUGUUGUAAUAUAUAUUACUUUGAAUGUUAAGUAUAAUUAUCUAAUAUUAUUAGUAUGUGAAAUAGAUUUUAAUAUUAUUAAAAGAAUAUGACAAUAUAUAAUUUUGACAUAAAUUUUUUAGUAUUCAUAAUAUUUUAUAAAUUUUAUCUUAUUUUAUAUAUUAUAUUUUUUAAUUUUAAUGUAUUAUAUAUGAUCAUUUAAGCAAAUUUUGGAGGUGCGGUGGUCUUUUCCCUAUUAAUUUUGUAGCAUAUUUAAAGUGUUAUAUCAUACAUCAUACAUCGCACUUUUGUUAAAGUAUUAUGUUAUUAAAAAUUAAACUUUGCAUUUAUAAUAUACUACCAUUUUAAUGUAAAUGUAACAAAAAAUAUGAAGAUAUUUUUAAGUAGUCAAUUGUAGCUUUCUAUUACAAAAUAGCAGUAUAGAAAUACAAUUGGUAAAAUGUAAUAAAAAUGGUAUGGAAAAAAGUUAGUAGAGGCAAUUAUUUUUGUAGUUGCUAAAACAUAUGAAGUGACACACACACACACACACACACACAUCAAGUACUUGUAUGUUCCCCUAACUUUUAUUAAUAGGAAGGAAAUUAAAUUCGUAAUUUUCCCGGUGAAUUAUGAAUUGAUAAAUGAAAUAUAAAUAUUAGUAAAAAUUAAUUUGUCGACUAAAGAAGUAAACCAUAUUUUAUGGGCAUUUAAUACAUUACUUUAAGGUCAAAUGAGAUAUAUCACAUGAUAUUUGAUACAGUAGUCCAAUUUUCAACAUUUGCAUAUAGUUUCUAAGCUAGUAAUCUAAUAAAAUAUACCAAAUGAGAAAUUCAAGGCUAUUAUUUAUAUUUCACAAUUGGACAAACACCAUACAUUAGAAUAAAAAAAUCUCACAGUACAGACGACAUCUGUUUGCAUGUUUUGAAAAUAGAUUUUGAAAAUAGUUUAAUUACAUGAUAAUUAAAUUAUAUUAUAAAACUAAGAAUAUGAUUUAAGUACUAUUUUAGCAAUUUUGAGUCUCACAUUGAGUAUUCAAGUUAAUUAAAUGUUGAAACUCUUUUCUAUUUGGCUUGAAAUCACUACUUAAUUAAAUUACAAAAAGUCGAUAAUGAAUGAUGUAGGACACAUAUGUAAAAUAAAUUUUAAAGUGUAAUUAAACAUUCCUAUCAAUAUUAGUUUCGUAUACAUGUUCAUAUAUUUUAUUGAAACCAUAUAUAAUUAAAUUUUGUGUAAUUAAGUAAAAUAUAUUAUUCAAGUGAAUUUAUGAGAAUAUUUAAAAUUAUAGGGGUGGUCACUGAAAUUUGCCAAACUUGAGCCAACCGUGCAUGAUCCAAACAAUUUAUUUUAAUAAUUCUCAAUAUGUUAGUCUGUUUGACUGUUGGCAAAAUAAAUUCCUAUCAGCAAUGCAACACAAUUCAAAAUCAUAUCUGCAUACAACGAACAAUAUCUCAUCAAAGAUCAAAUUAUACAUUUUUUACACCAAAGCAUAAAUAUCUAAAUUAUCCCUCUUCAACUCACCAAGCUCAUACCUAACAACAGCAAGAUUAAAUGUCAUUUGAUCCAUCUUUUUUAGUAAGCUUUAUCAAUUCUUCUCAUGGUUGCAAUUUUGAAAGCUCGCUUCGCUAUUUCCAUUUGCUUUUAUGCUUUGUUUGAGCUCCAUCUUUUCUCUCCAUCUACAUUUUACACUGUAAAAAAAAUUUUAAAAAAAUUACAAAGCUUCUUAUACUAGAAUAUGAGCAACAAUAUAAAUAAUAAACAAUAAAGUUAUGAUAGCACAACAUACUCAUUAAAGUGCUUCUUUUUUUUUUUCAACAAGAAAUUACUACUGAAUUAAAGAAUUGGCUUUGCAUUAAGGUUUGCCUUCAAUAACUCAACUCCCCACUUGGGUUUUGUCGUUUUCUUAAAAUCUCUGCUCAAUCAAUUUAAAGAUCCAUUUUUUUUUUCUUUCCAAAGAUCUAAAAGCAAUGUCUUUUAUUGGUACCCAACAAAAAUGCAAGGUCUGUGAGAAGACAGUUUGUCCAGUUGAGCAGUUAUCUGCUGAUGGGGUUGUUUAUCACAAGUCUUGCUUCAAGUGCUAUCACGGCAAAGGCACACUCAAGCUAAGCAAUUACUCAUCCCUGGAAGGUGUUCUUUACUGUAAGCCUCACUUUGAGCAGCUUUUGAAGGAGUCGAGUAACUUCAACCAGAAUUUCCAAUUACCUGCAAAGUCAGCUGAGAAGUUAACUCCUGAGCUGAGAAGGUCGCCUAGCAAAGUUGCCAGCAUGUUCUCUGGGCCCAAUAAAAAUGUGCUUCUUGCAGUAAAACAGUGUGUCCGUGGGAGAAGGUAGCAGUGGAAAACCAAGCCUCUCACAAGACAUGUUUCAAGUGCUCACAUGGUGGUUAUUCCAUUAGCCCGUCAAAUUACGCAGCCCUAGAAGGCAUCUUGUAUUGCAAACAUAAUUUCUCCCAAUUGUUCAAGGAAAAAGGCAGCUACAACCACCUUAUAUCAAAUCUGCUCCCAUGAAGCGUGCUGCAGUCUCUGUUCAAGAAGCUUGAACACGUUAUGUUAUCUUCCAUAAAUCUUAUUUGGCGUGGGUUUUCUCUGGCUUGAGGGUGUGCUUUCUAUUUUGAUCCCUCUUGUUGUUUUUGCGGGGAACUACCAAACCUUCGGUUCCCUCUGCUUCUUUGGAUCAUCUUUGUUUGGACAAAUUUCAUGUAAUUAGAGAUACCGAUUUAUGGGAGGCAUAAUCCCAUGGUCGUAAAUUGACCAUUUUCUGGCAAUGUUCUUUUUAAAAAGAGAUGAGCAGUUGUUUAAAAAAAAAAAAAAUUGCUUGCCUUCAUCAUUGUAUAUUACCAAACUGCUAUGUAUAGCUGCUAACUAUGAGCAUCCGAAAAUAUGGUGCAUCGUGAUUCAUGUAGUGCAAUAUGGCUACCAACGCAUCCUAAAUGGAGUAUUACUCAGUUAGUCAGCAAAAUAAGACAACAUAACUGAUAUUAAAAAAAAAAAAAAACUACAUUAAUAAGUGGGCAAGAUCAUGCCAGUUUAACUUUUCGCGCGUCGCUGCUGGAGAUGAUCAAAUCGGGGCAUAGAAAAGGAGAAUGGAAUCAGAGGCUAAGAUUAAUAAGUGGGCUUCUGCUUGCUUUGCCCUCUUUCUUAAACGAUUGGUAGACUGCUGCUUCCGCCGAUUAACCGGGUCUUCAACCACUGCUUUUACUGCCUGCCAUCUUGUUGUUUGUCGAAGGGAUGAAUUCGAGUCGAAAAGAGAAAGCGCGCUGAAAAAGAUAAAUCACUAGUGGUUAACUGCUGACUCAGCCAAGUGUUGGCUUCACUUGAUUCACCGAUUGAGGUUAUUUUGUCUUCUAUCUAAUGCAGCGAAGAAGCUUUGCUGCUUAACAUGCUGCAAUGCAACUUUAUCCUUUGAAGUUCACACUCCAGGGCUGCGCACUUUAUGUAAUCCUAUGAGUAAAAAGAAUUUGUUUUCAAAUGUGAAAAAAGAAAAUGUAAGGUAGUAACUAAAUAUAUUAUAGCAUCAAAGCAAGAUUUGAUAUGAAUUUAGUACAACAAAGAACAUCAAAUCUGUGAUUCCUUGUCUAAUGUCACCAUCGAGCAACAAAUUUAAAAGCCUACCUAUCAAAUACACGAGGCAAUAAACGGAGAAAAAGUUGAAUUACAAGAACAAGUUUACAAUUCUUGUCAAUGGUUAAUGAUUUGUGAACUGAGAUAUCAUUCAAGAAUCCAAUUUCAAUACAACAACCUAAAAGAUAAACAGAUGAUGAAUUUUAUGAGAUAAAAAAGGAGAUCGUGUUUUAUCGUAUCUCUAUUUUCUUUCUUUUUAAAUUUAUGAGAUAAAGCGGUUGGUCCAGUUACGGUGUUAUGCUAACGGGUUUAAAGGUUCCGAUCCAAUGAGUUAGGGUGGAAUAUGAAUAUAUAAAUUCCAUAGCAUGUAAGGACUAGGAUUUGUUUGUUCAUAUCAAGAAAAAAAAUCUGAAAAUUUGAUGAUCAGAAGAUAAAAACACUUAAACACGUUUAAGUAUCAAUAAAUACUUGCUGCUGUAGUUUGAAAAUAAAAUGAGUUUAUCUUGUUGCUGUUUGAUAAAAAUUUAUACUAUUUUUAUUAAUUUUGUCAAAAUCAAUAUUUAGACAUUAUAUUUACCAAGCAUUAUCAUUUUUUUAAUCUCAUAAUUAAUUAAAAUUUUCAUUUCAUUCAAUACAGUAAUUAAUUAGAAUUGUAGCAUAAGCCCAUUUUAAUUUUCUUUCUUUAGGCUAUAUACGCUACUUAUAAGAAAAACUUAUGGACCAUUGACCUAGGCUUAUACAAUAAGCCAAUUUAGAAAUUGUAGACUCACUCUAUGGAUUACUCAUGAGUUGUGGAUGAUGAGUUCUUCACUAACGAAGUGCAUUGGAUAUCAUAUAACGUAAAAACACACAUUGUCAUUAGUCUAUUGCAAGCAUUCCCAUUUGGCACCGAAUCUUUCUCAUUAGCCUAUUGCAAGCGAUCCCAGCCACUUGGAAUCAAAAUUUAGUGAAUUUACAUAUGUUGUCUCGAAGUGGUGUCUCUUAUGGUUGGGUGUUUUUAUAAAUUUCUUAAUUGCUUCGAAUACCAUGGCUGAUGCAACCGUUUCUACUAUCUUGGAGCAGCUGAUUUCCUUCGCUGCUGAAGAGAUAAAACAACAGGUGAUCGAAGUUGCACCCCUCAUAUUACAAAUGCUUCCAAUGAUUUUAAUUGGUUUUGUUUUUAUCAAAAACAUUAUAUAUUUUUUCUUUAUUUUAUUUAUCUGGUAAUUUUAGAUUUUGAAAUUUGAAUUGAAUUUAAUUAAAAGGUGAUGUAGUAACCACUUAUUUUUAUUUUUUUUUAUUUAUAUUCUCAAUAACUACUCAUAGUUUGGUAACUUACUAUAACUUCCAUAUCUAAGAAAUGAUCCAAACCCACAAUUUUAACUCAAGUUUGUCAAACAGUCAUUAAUUCAAUGUUUAGUAAAAAAAACACUUCUCAGCACAGAAUUCCAUGUCCAUUACUUAGACUCUAUGAAAAAUUUCAUAAUUUUCUUACAUUCUUUGAGUUUGGUAAGUGAUUUCAUAUAUUUUCUAUUCAAUAUAAAUUUUAAUUUGUUUUCUUAUAUACUCUCUUUGCUGAAUUUGUAUCUUUUAUGAUUCUUAGAUUUUGGGCUCUAACUUUUUAGGAUUUGAUAGUCACAUUUUAUGCCAUGCUUAGAUUGAUUUUCAUGAUUUUUACUACCCGUUAAGUGACUUAGAAUUUGACAAAAGUUUGAAAGGAAAUCUGCUUCAGGAUUCUGUUUUAAUUGACCCUUUAGUGGAAAUAAAAUGCUUAUAACUUAAUGUGGAUGCUAUGUAAAAUCAUGAAAUUUGGAUAGAAUUAACUAGAAAUAUGUACAAGACUCUCCAUGAAGUCUCAUAAUUUUUCAUUCGGUCUGGGGUGUUACAGGUGAAGCUUGUGGUUGGUGUCGAAAAAGAAGUGAAAAGCCUUACCAGCCACCUUCAAGCCAUUCAAGCUGUGCUCGAUGAUGCAGAGGAAAAGCAAGUGAAGGACAAAGCUGUUAGACAUUGGCUGGGUAGGCUCAAGUAUGCAUCCUACGACAUUGAAGAUGUGUUGGAUGAGUGGAUCACAGGAAGACGCAAAUUGCAAAUUGAGGGUGGCAUUGGUGAAAAUGCUCUUAUUGCUCCUCAUAAGAAAAAGAAGGUACGUUUCUGCUUUCGUGCCUCUUGUCUUGGAUUCAAAACAGAAGAAUUUGGCUUCAAACAAGUCUUUCUACGUCAUGACAUUGCCAACAAGAUCAAAGAAAUGAAUGAAGAGCUACAUGAUAUUGCUACUCAAAAAGACAUGUUUAAUCUUGUUAAGAGUGGCAAUAACAGUAGUGAAAGACCAAGGCGUGUACAGAGUACCUCCUUGAUUGAUGAGGAAGAGAUUUGUGGUAGAGUUGGUGAGAAGAAUGAACUCAUAAGCAAGCUGUUGUGUGAGAGUAGCGAGCAACAAAAAGGCCUCCAUAUCAUCUCAAUUGUUGGUAUGGGAGGCAUAGGGAAAACUACUCUUGCACAACUAGCUUGUAAUCAUGACGAGGUGAAGAGAAAGUUCGACAAAAUUCUGUGGGUGUGUGUAUCAGAAACUUUUGAGGAGUUUAGGGUUGCCAAAGCAAUCGUUGAAGCUUUGGAUGGUCGUGAAUCUCAUUUAGGUGAAUUCCAAUCUCUUCUUCAACAUAUUGAUGAAUCCAUUGCAGGGAAGACCUUUCUUCUUGUCUUAGAUGACGUGUGGGAUGGAAAUUACUUGAAAUGGGAACCAUUCUACCGUUGUCUAAAGAAUGGUCUCCAUGGAAGUAAAAUUAUAGUUACCACACGUAGUGGGUCCGUUGCAUCCAUGAUGGGAUCCAUAGAUAUUAUUCCCAUUAAGGAAUUAGCUGAAGAGGAAUGUUGGUUGUUGUUUAACAAGAUAGCAUUUUUUGGUAGGCCUAUUGAGGAACGUGAAAAAUUAGAACAAAUUGGGCAAAGAAUUGCAGGCAAGUGCAAAGGUUUACCUCUUGCAGCAAAGACAAUAGGGAGUCUCAUGCGUUCUAAACAAACUGAAGAAGAGUGGAAAAGAAUUUUAAAUAGUGAUUUAUGGAAAGUAGAAGAGAUUGAGAAAGAUGUUUUGUCCUCUUUAUUGUUGAGUUAUAAUGAUUUGCCAUCUAGAGUAAAAAGAUGUUUUUCAUAUUGUGCUGUCUUUCCAAAAGACUACAAUAUAAAAAAAGACGAACUAAUCACAUUAUGGAUGGCUCAAGGUUAUCUUAGUGCAGAAGCAGCAGAACAAGAUGAGGAGUUGGAGACUAUAGGUGAAGAGUAUUUUGGCAUCUUAGCUUCUCGCUCUUUCUUUCAAGAGUUUGAGAAAAGUUAUGAUAAUCGUAUUAUAGAGUGCAAGAUGCAUGAUAUGGUACAUGAUUUUGCCCGCUUUGUAAGUCAAAAUGAAUGUUUUUCGAUGGCAAUUAAUGGUAGUGAAGAACCAAACGCCACAAACGCUCUUGAUGAGAAGGUCCGUCAUUUAAUGUUAAUAUUUAGUAAAGCGGCUUCAUUACCUAUUUCCACUCUUAGAGUUAAAAGAAUGCGUACCCUCUUAAUUAACGAUCAUUCAUUAUUAAAUGCUGCGAUCCUAGAAGAAUUAUUUAGGGAAUUGACAAGUUUAAGGGCAUUAGAUUUUGGCGGAUCGUACCACUCAACGCGGUUGUUGACUCCGGAGGUUCCGAGAAACAUAGAAAAGCUGGUACUACCGGAGACAUUGUGUGAGUUAUAUAAUCUAGAAAAGUUAGAUAUUAGUGAUUGUUUUAAUCUUAAAGAAUUACCUGAAGGGAUUGGGAAGUUAAUAAACGUGAAGCAUUUACUAAAUAGAGGUACUAAUUCUUUAAGGUACAUGCCAGUAGGGAUUGGGAGAUUAACAGGUCUUAGGACCUUGGGUGAGUUCCACGUGAGUGCAGGAGGAGGUGUUGAUGGUAGGAAAGCAUGUAGGCUUGAAUCUCUUAAAAACUUGGAACACCUUCAAGUAUGUGGUAUAAGUAGACUGGGUGAUGUAUCAGAUGUGGGCGAGGCUAAGCGAUUAGAACUUGACAAAAAGAAAUACCUCUCCAGUUUGACCCUUUGGUUUGAUAAGGAGGAGGAAGAAGAAGGAGAAAGAAGGAAGAACGAGGACAAUCAACUUCUUCUUGAAGCCCUGCGACCACCUCUCAAUUUAAAGGAAUUAGAGAUUGAGUACUACCGAGGCAACACUGUUUUCCCCAGCUGGAUGACGUCAUUAACCAACUUGAAGAGUUUAGAUCUCUCUUCCUGCGAAAAUUGCGAGCAGCUGCCUCCUUUGGGAAAAUUGCAGUCCCUUGAAAAUCUCCACAUAUGGCGCAUGGAGAGUGUGAAGAGAGUGGGUGAUGAAUUUUUGGGGAUAGAAAGUGAUCAUCAUGGCUCAUCUUCAUCUUCAUCGGUUAUUAUUGCCUUCCCCAAAUUGAAAUCACUUUCAAUUGAGGUUCUGCGCGAAUUGGAGGAGUGGGAUUAUGGGAUUACAAGAACGGGAAACACCGUCAUCAACAUCAUGCCACGUCUUUCUUCAUUGACAAUUAAUUACUGCUCCAAAUUAAAGGCACUGCCCGACCACUUUCAUCAAACGACAACAUUGAAGGAAUUGCACAUUUGGAAGUGCAGGCUUCUGGAAGAACGUUAUUGCAAUGGGGAAGGAGAAGACUGGUCUAAGAUAUCACACAUUCCCAACCUCCAUAUUGGGCUUUGACAAGUAAUUUCUUCUCUUACUCUGAUUUGCUUUGUUGUUGUUUUUAAUCUAAUUAAGAAGCGUAAAUAGCAUUUUGAAUCAAACUCUAUAUCAGAAAUCUGCAAUACUUACUUUCUAAUAUUCUGAUUUUCAUAUCCUAUGAAUAUACGAUUUUUAAUUUGUGAGAUGGGUAACGUUACUGUAAAAGAUUAUUAAUGCAAUAUGAGUAAUUCUUUUGCAGGACAAGUGACCUACAUUUAGUUUGGCUUUGGAGUUGAAUAAUAACCUUUCGAGGUCCCGACAACCAAAAAACGAAGCUUAAUUUGCCACAGAUUGCACGUAUUGCCAUUAUUGACAAUUUUCUGCACAAGCGUGACUGAACUUAGGUUGAUGUCAAAAGAGGUAAAUUAUUGGCAUGCCUGACUAUUUUGACCAUUACAUGAUUCAUAAGUUUACAUUAAUUUUGAUUUUGAGUUGAGUGAUUAAUUUUCUAUGUUUGCUUACUUUAACUGGGUGACCAAUUUCUUGUAACUAAAUGUAUGAUGUGAUGCAGGAAGCAGGGCAGGAUAUGAAAAGAGAAGCUUAUUAGAGGAAGGAUUGCCAGUAACAGAAUCCAAAGAAAAAGAAACCAUUUCGAGGCAGCAGUUGGCAGUUGGCAGUGAAUGGAGCCCCUUGAAAAAGUUCCCAAGCCGUUGCACUGCAAUUACGAUCAUCCUCGGCCUCAGGUAAUUUCUUCUCCUGCAUUUUUGUUAUUUGCUAUCAAGUGACUAUUUUAAGUAUGAUUGCAUUAAGCUGCUACUGGGAAAUUUGAGGUUUUGAGGACUGCCCAUGCUAUUGUCAGAAGCUGCGGUUCUUUUCAUCAGCCUGAACCUGGACCUGCCGCUAUGGAUAACUCAGGUUUUUUUUUUUUUUAAUCAACUGCCAUCUUUUCCACUGUUUAGAAACUCUUAAGAUUAAACUUUAGUAAAGAUGUUUUAGUUAUCCAUGUAAUCAGGCUGAGGAUACUUAGCUGCCUAUUUAGGCAAAUGUCAGAAUUUAGUUUGUUCGCUGGGAACUGGUGUGGACUGGCAAAGGAUGAUGAGAUAGUUUUUUGAGUGAGUAAAUUUUGGGAGCUUGAGUGUAUUGGGAUUUGCAAUUACAAUCAUCCUCUGCCUCAGGUGAUUUCUUCUCCUGCUCUGUCAUUGUUUGUUCUCUAAUUCAAAAGCAUAAAAUAUUUCAAUCAAUUUUUAUACCAGGAAUAUGCAAAAGUUUCUAAUAUUUUAUUUCCAUCUGUUACAAGAUCAAACUGAAGCAGAACUCAAUCAAAAGUAUGCUGCUUCUUGCGGAAAUCUUGCCUUUGUUCAGAUUAUGAAACCAUUUCCAUGCAGCAAAUUCAUCCAAAAAUUUGAAUAAGUUUCACGGUUGGACACUGUUGGCUUCUUUUUCUUCCGGGGUGCAUUUAGGUGCUAUCAAGUGACAGCUGUAAGUAUGAUUGCACUAAGCUGCCGCUGGGAAAUUUGAGGUUUUGAUGGCUGCCCAUGUUAUUUUCAAUAAACUAUUGAUGUAAGAAGCUGUGGUUCUUUUCAUCAGCUUGAACCUGAAACUGUCGCUAUGGAUAACUCAGGUUUUUGUUAUCAACUAUAUCAUCUUUUUCACUAUUUUGAAACUCUUAAGAUUAAACUUUAGUAAAGUUGUUUCAGCUAUUCAAAUGAAAAACUCAUUGAUUUGAGACUUCCUUCAUUAUUGUUUCUAAUUACAAUGCUAACGAUCCAGAUAAAAUAAUAUUUAAUCAACGAAGGUGUUGAUUGAUUUGAGACUUCCUUCAUUAAUGUAGACUUCCUUCAUUAUUGUUUCUUUUUCUUUUAUUCUAUAAAAUCUUGCAAUGAGCUUAGUGAAGCUGUUGUGCUAAUCAUGCCACUGCAUAAUUUGGCCCCUAAUGUGAGUACUCUGUUACAUUGUUCUGCAAAUUCUCCAGAAGUUAAAAUCAAUAAAUUUUCUAUUAGCUCUAGUGCUUUGACCUAAAUGCUAUUCUAUAUUCUGAUUACAAUGUUUUAACCUUUAAAUUAACUACCCCUAGAUGUUGGAUUUUCUAGAACUUCAAAAUGAUUAAUGGAGAAAGAUCCCAUUAUCGUUAUUGCUAUAAGAAAUUGAUUUAUGCAUCCAAAGAUACAUUAUAUGUUUCUGUGUCUCUAUUUAUAGAUGACACCUAAGCAUCCCAUUAUCUAUUAUUUAUUUUAUAUUUUGAAGAAUUUAAUGGGUAAUCCUAAUUGUUUGUUUAGGCAGGUAUGUGUUGUUAUCUCCUUCUAUCUUACAGUCGUACCUAAAUAGCAUAGUUUCAUCUGUGUUACCAUGUGAUGUACAUAAUUUCACAUUUGCCUCAGAUUAAGCUUAAUUUCCCACAGAAUAGAGCUGCCGCGACUGGACUUAGGUUGAUGUCCAAAGAGGUAAAUUAUUGGCAUGCCUAGAUAAUUUGGCCAUUUCCUAAUUCAUAAGUCUACAUUAAUUUUGAUUUUGAGUUGACUGAUUUCUUUUCAAG
rnacentral:lncRNA from 1 species